rnacentral:rRNA from 1 species
AAUGUUAUCACGGGAGACACACGGCGGGUGCUAACGUCCGUCGUGAAGAGGGAAACAACCCAGACCGCCAGCUAAGGUCCCAAAGUCAUGGUUAAGUGGGAAACGAUGUGGGAAGGCCCAGACAGCCAGGAUGUUGGCUUAGAAGCAGCCAUCAUUUAAAGAAAGCGUAAUAGCUCACUGGUCGAGUCGGCCUGCGCGGAAGAUGUAACGGGGCUAAACCAUGCACCGAAGCUGCGGCAGCGACACUAUGUGUUGUUGGGUAGGGGAGCGUUCUGUAAGCCUGUGAAGGUGUACUGUGAGGUAUGCUGGAGGUAUCAGAAGUGCGAAUGCUGACAUAAGUAACGAUAAAGCGGGUGAAAAGCCCGCUCGCCGGAAGACCAAGGGUUCCUGUCCAACGUUAAUCGGGGCAGGGUGAGUCGACCCCUAAGGCGAGGCCGAAAGGCGUAGUCGAUGGGAAACAGGUUAAUAUUCCUGUACUUGGUGUUACUGCGAAGGGGGGACGGAGAAGGCUAUGUUGGCCGGGCGACGGUUGUCCCGGUUUAAGCGUGUAGGCUGGUUUUCCAGGCAAAUCCGGAAAAUCAAGGCUGAGGCGUGAUGACGAGGCACUACGGUGCUGAAGCAACAAAUGCCCUGCUUCCAGGAAAAGCCUCUAAGCAUCAGGUAACAUCAAAUCGUACCCCAAACCGACACAGGUGGUCAGGUAGAGAAUACCAAGGCGCUUGAGAGAACUCGGGUGAAGGAACUAGGCAAAAUGGUGCCGUAACUUCGGGAGAAGGCACGCUGAUAUGUAGGUGAAGUCCCUCGCGGAUGGAGCUGAAAUCAGUCGAAGAUACCAGCUGGCUGCAACUGUUUAUUAAAAACACAGCACUGUGCAAACACGAAAGUGGACGUAUACGGUGUGACGCCUGCCCGGUGCCGGAAGGUUAAUUGAUGGGGUCAGCGCAAGCGAAGCUCUUGAUCGAAGCCCCGGUAAACGGCGGCCGUAACUAUAACGGUCCUAAGGUAGCGAAAUUCCUUGUCGGGUAAGUUCCGACCUGCACGAAUGGCGUAAUGAUGGCCAGGCUGUCUCCACCCGAGACUCAGUGAAAUUGAACUCGCUGUGAAGAUGCAGUGUACCCGCGGCAAGACGGAAAGACCCCGUGAACCUUUACUAUAGCUUGACACUGAACAUUGAGCCUUGAUGUGUAGGAUAGGUGGGAGGCUUUGAAGUGUGGACGCCAGUCUGCAUGGAGCCGACCUUGAAAUACCACCCUUUAAUGUUUGAUGUUCUAACGUGGACCCGUAAUCCGGGUUGCGGACAGUGUCUGGUGGGUAGUUUGACUGGGGCGGUCUCCUCCUAAAGAGUAACGGAGGAGCACGAAGGUUGGCUAAUCCUGGUCGGACAUCAGGAGGUUAGUGCAAUGGCAUAAGCCAGCUUGACUGCGAGCGUGACGGCGCGAGCAGGUGCGAAAGCAGGUCAUAGUGAUCCGGUGGUUCUGAAUGGAAGGGCCAUCGCUCAACGGAUAAAAGGUACUCCGGGGAUAACAGGCUGAUACCGCCCAAGAGUUCAUAUCGACGGCGGUGUUUGGCACCUCGAUGUCGGCUCAUCACAUCCUGGGGCUGAAGUAGGUCCCAAGGGUAUGGCUGUUCGCCAUUUAAAGUGGUACGCGAGCUGGGUUUAGAACGUCGUGAGACAGUUCGGUCCCUAUCUGCCGUGGGCGCUGGAGAACUGAGGGGGGCUGCUCCUAGUACGAGAGGACCGGAGUGGACGCAUCACUGGUGUUCGGGUUGUCAUGCCAAUGGCACUGCCCGGUAGCUAAAUGCGGAAGAGAUAAGUGCUGAAAGCAUCUAAGCACGAAACUUGCCCCGAGAUGAGUUCUCCCUGACUCCUUGAGAGUCCUGAAGGAACGUUGAAGACGACGACGUUGAUAGGCCGGGUGUGUAAGCGCAGCGAUGCGUUGAGCUAACCGGUACUAAUGAACCGUGAGGCUUAACCUU